rnacentral:rRNA from 1 species
CCUACGGGGGGCAGCAGUAGGGAAUCUUCCACAAUGGACGAAAGUCUGAUGGAGCAACGCCGCGUGAGUGAAGAAGUAUUUCGGUAUGUAAAGCUCUAUCAGCAGGGAAGAUAAUGACGGUACCUGACUAAGAAGCCCCGGCUAACUACGUGCCAGCAGCCGCGGUAAUACGUAGGGGGCAAGCGUUAUCCGGAUUUACUGGGUGUAAAGGGAGCGUAGGUGGCAGGGCAAGUCAGAUGUGAAAACCCGGGGCUCAACUCCGGGAGUGCAUUUGAAACUGUCCAGCUAGAGUGCAGGAGAGGUAA